CUUUCACGUGGACCGUGUAGACACCGCAGAGCUUUCCCAGCUGCUCAGCAUCGCUGUCCCGCAGCACUUGGUGACGCUGACGAUCCAUCAUCGCCACUUCCAGCUGUGUGGGCUUCUGAUGUUAGUGAGCUUCCAUCCCUGUUUUGGAAGAUUUCAUCUCCACACGUACGUAUCCGUGUGUGGCCUGAGUCAUUUUGAACCCAUCCCCCCGCUCUGGCAGGGACUGACAUUUACAAAAUGACGGCCCCGUGCCCAGAGUCCGCGAGCGGAGUGCACUCGGUGUGCGGAAUUCAUCAUCUCCACUUACCGGGGGACAGGGAGCGCCGAGCGUGUGGUCCGCAGUGACUCUCUUGACGGCCGUGUUCUCCAUUGCCUGGUUUUCCCGAUUUCCCCGGAAAGCAGGGUCAGGCCUUCUCACUUGCGGGCCAGCGAGGCCCUCGCCCGGGCUGUGCCCAUCACCGCGCACGUCCGGGCCCUUCGGGCCGACUCUGCCCGCCAGCCUCAUAUCCGUUUCUUCUUUGCAAAGUGCUGUCCAUCCCCCGUGUCCUUCUCCACGAAGGCCGGCCAUUCUGAUCCUGCAGUGUAGACGGAGCGGCGUGGGGGCCUUCACUGGGGAGAACGUGCUGGAGGUGAUGAAAUUCAGAGGGGGGCUCUGGAGCCAGGAAGAUGGCAGACAUGGCCUUGGGCCCCUGGGGGCCCCUGGGGGCCCCUGAUGCCUGUCACCGCGGUUCCAGGGCAGGGGCCCCUUCGGGGUGGUUCAAGGGCGCGGGCUGAACACAGCAGCGAGGCCCAGCUGUGAAGGGUGCCCAGGGCUGCGGGCGCGGUGCAGUAAUAAACCAGGACACUAGAGGGAGAAGGCCCUCGACACCACGGGUGGAACAGAAGUCGGUUCAGCUGUGUUUGCUACGAUGGAAACUUCACUUCUCCCUCCUUGUCUUAAAUUAAAAAAAAAAAAUAUGGUGUGAAAUCUGAA